UACGAAGGGGGCUAGCGUUGCUCGGAUUGACUGGGCGUAAAGAGCUCGUAGGCGGUGUGUCGCGUCGGCCGUGAAAACCUGGGGCUCAACUCUGGGCGUGCGGUCGAUACGGGCAUCACUUGAGUUCGGCAGGGGAGACUGGAAUUCCUGGUGUAGCGGUGAAAUGCGCAGAUAUCAGGAGGAACACCGAUGGCGAAGGCAGGUCUCUGGGCAUUAACUGACGCUGGAGGAGCGAAAGCAUGGGGAGCGAAUGGG
rnacentral:rRNA from 1 species